AGAAGUCGAGUCCACAAUUCAGAAUUCCACUUCCUGUUUCAAUCGGUCUCGGGGUUUUGACUGCCAUUUGAGUUCUGUUAUACUCACAGACACCAUUCAAACAGUUUUAGAAACUUUAGAGUGUUUUCUAUCCAUAUAUAAUAAGUAUAUGCAUGCCCUAGCUUCUGAGUUUAAUUAGUAGGCCGUUGAAAAUGGGAACGAUUUUUUUUCAAAAUGCGCUGUGGCGCCCCCUAUCCUACGGUAUCCUCAAGAGGAUAAAAAGCAGAUGUUUGGUGAGAUAAAGCCACCUACUCCUCAGCACAAUGGCUAUUAGGCUACGUUGGAAACCACCAUGUACAUUGGAAACCACCAUAUAGAUUCUGUUGAAACAUUUCUGAGUGGUAGAUCUUGAUUUGCCUUUUGACUCAAAAAGUGUUCUUGGUUGACAUUUUACUCUUAUUGCUUUUCACAAAAUGCAGACAUGAUUAAGUGUAGUUCAGAUCUUGCUUUGACAACAACUGUGUUCAUGCAGUUUGAAUGUACAAGAGUCACAGUUUAGUUUGUUAUAAUCGACCAUUUACUGCUUGUCCUUAUCUACACAGUAUGUAGGUCAUCAUCUCUUAAGAAUACAAUCACUCCCUCCUGCUUGCUCCUGUAGUCUCUCCUAUUGGAGCAUGUUGUGCUCCACCUACAUUAGCCCACAUACAGUAUAUAUCUGUGAAAAAAUAUCUUCCAUUUUUAUACUUUUCUAUUUCAGAGUAGUUACUGAGACGGAAUAUUAAGGUCAUUUAAUUCACAUUUCACUAUUCUAAAAUACAGUAACUGUCUGACUUAUUCAAACUGAUAAAGAUUUUUGUACUGAGGUUUUUAUGUACUGAGCUUCAAUAUAUCAAGUCAGACUUACCCAUACAUUCAAUAUAAAGGUAUACAAUCUGGGAUAUUUUCUAAUGUUAAAUGGUCAUCAACCCCCCAUUCUGCUUGAAAAAUAUACUUAGCUUAUCACAACCCAAAAUAUUAUUUAAGUUUACUCUAUUGUUUAUAUUUUUGUUGUCAUUUUUGUUUUUGUAAACAAAGAAUGUACUGCUUCAACAUACCUCUGAAAACUGUCAGUUGUUGCAGCCAUAGCUGCGUUCAAGAGUCUAAGGUUAGCAACAUUUCUCCAGAGACAUUUCUCUAGAAACACACAACCUCCAGAUUCUGGUUUUAAAGUUUGAUCUAGAUAGUUUGUGUGUAUGUAUUGAUAUGUAGGCUACGUGUGUCUUUUUUAAAUUGAUGUACUUCUUUCCUUGAGCUGUUGUCUAUUAAUGUUCUGUGUUUAAGUGAUAAUGCCAGAGAAGCAGGUGUUUGGAGGGCAAACCGUGCCAAUAUAUCCUCCAAGCACCAGCUUCGAGGGCAUUAUCACUUUUAUACAACAGGUUACCAACAUAUUAAAAUAAUGAUUGACAUAUUUUCAUUAAAUGUUUUAUUUUGAUGAAUUUAUUCAUACUAUUUCAUUCUUCCACAAAAUAUAGUCCCGAAACAAAUCUAGGGUUGCUAUUCAAGCCGGCUGAUUGCUUGGUUCCAGUUUCCAGAGACGCGACCCAGUCGUUCAGUCUUUUUGUUCUGUAUCCAUGGACGCGAUCCAGUCGUUCGUUUAUAAAUGUUCCAUUGCCAUACUGGCUGGCAACUUUCUUAUCCCUUGCUUGCUUGCUAGCUAACUACGACUAACUUAGACUCACGUGAAACAGUGCAGACAGAAUAUCAACAGUAGCUGCAUUUUAUAUAAGCUGUUUUCUAGUGACAUUUAUUUGGAUACAUCCAUAACAAUGAGCUAAAGAGGUACGAUUUUGCCUGGCAUAGAAAAUGUGCUUACUAGUCAGGACACUUCUUUCAGAGGAGCUAGCCAACAACACAGCUAACACAAUUACUUCCAACUGAAACUCAAAGACUGCAAACUAACUUCGUUUUACCUUUUUUCAAUUGACAUUUCUUUGUAGAUAUCCAUAAAAAUGAUGCCAGCUGAUUUAUGAUUUUGACAGGCUGAGAAACUCUGCCUAACUCUCUCUCUCUCGUCCCAACUCCCGACCCCUACACAUUCAUUACUAUGGGACAGUUGGAGAUCAAAUCUGAAUAUUGAAACAAUAUUACAUAUGUCGGAGAGACAGACAACAAGGUUUAUACAAAUCUCCGCUAUUGAAACUAAAUGUUAGUCUAAAAGAAAUGUGAGAUAAUGUCUAGAUGCUUUUUGUAGUGGAGAUCAAGUUUAUAAAUUGCUUGUCUGAUGAGACAGUGGAUUGCGCAGUCAGAUGGAACAGGGUAAAUAGGCAAUUUAACGUCAUAGAUUUAUCCGGUGGUAACUUGUGGAAUAGACACCGGCUGGAAUAUGCAUUUAACCAAUCAGCAUUCAGGAUUAGACCCACCCGUUGUAUAAUAUGUCAUGUUUCAUGUUUUGUGUUGACCCUACGAAGAGUAGCUGCUGCUUUUGCAACAGCUAAUGGGGAUCCUAAUAAAAUACCAAAUACCAAAUGUAGCCUACUUCUAGGGUCAAAUUAGGAGGGACCACUGUAAUUUUGGGUGGUGUUCAAGUUUGUUUCUCUAUUUAUUGAGUUUAAGUGUAUUUGGGACAUUUUGUCCUGUUACUUUUAAUGCCAGGCAGCUGUACAAUUCUAAUAUUAAAAGAAUGAUGACUAAUCCUCUUACAAUUCAACCAUUGCUUUCAAGGAAACAAUGCGUUUUUCUUCUAAUGUAUUUUCCACAUAUAGUGGUUACACGUUUUUAUAUUUCAGUAUACUGUAUACUGUACUGUACAUACUACACCAUGUUGUAGUCUGAGCCAGUAUAUUGUAAGUGUAACUUAAAUCAUGUGUCAGCAAAAUGUUCUCAAACCUUUCUAUGCUUUUACAUUUGAACUGUGGCCAUGCAUUAUUGUGCCAAUUCAUAUUUUACAUAAAACAUGUCUUGUAAAUUCUGCCAUGCCAAUUAUUAUUUUAAUCACACUUGGUCAGAAAACAUGAGUGCCUCAUUUAUCAUUCCGUGUAUUUCUGUGGUGUAUUUUUCCACAAAGUUCAGAUUGUGCAAUGUUGUGAUUCCAGCGUUUUGUUAUACAAAAUGUAUAUUGUAUAUAAAAAAAACUUUACGAUAAAGUGGUCUGACAUAA